CUACGGGAGGCAGCAGUGGGGAAUAUUGCACAAUGGGGGAAACCCUGAUCCAGCCAUGCCGCGUGAGUGAUGAAGGCCCUAGGGUUGUAAAGCUCUUUUGUCAGGGAAGAUGAUGACGGUACCUGAAGAAUAAGCACCGGCUAACUUCGUGCCAGCAGCCGCGGUAAUACGAAGGGUGCUAGCGUUGUUCGGAAUUACUGGGCGUAAAGCGCGCGUAGGCGGCCACACAAGUCAGAGGUGAAAGCCCGGAGCUCAACUCCGGAAUUGCCUUUGAAACUGUAUGGCUAGAGUAUUGGAGGGGAGUGCGGAAUUGCUAAUGUAGAGGUGAAAUUCGUAGAUAUUAGCAGGAACACCGGUGGCGAAGGCGGCACUCUGGACAAUAACUGACGCUAAAGUGCGAAAGCGUGGGGAGCAAACAGGAUUAGAAACCCCGGUAGUCC
rnacentral:rRNA from 1 species